rnacentral:misc_RNA from 1 species
ACCCUUGUGGAGGAGGACGCCGAAGGUGGGGCUAAUGACUGGGGUGAAGUCGUAACAAGGUAGCCGUACCGGAAGGUGCGGCUGGAUCACCUCCUAACAGGGAGACAACAAAAUGUAAAUAUUAAUUUUGUCACCUUAGGUCGAUCGGUAUCUCAGAUUCUUUAUUUUUUAAGAAUUUCAGUUUCUAAGUUUUUUCUAGGUCACACCCAUCACUUUUUCCUGGGCCAUUAGCUCAGGUGGUUAGAGCGCACCCCUGAUAAGGGUGAGGUCCCUGGUUCAAGUCCAGGAUGGCCCAUAUCUCUAUGUUGGGGGUAUAGCUCAGUUGGUAGAGCGCCUGCUUUGCAAGCAGGAUGUCAGCGGUUCGAGUCCGCUUACCUCCACUGAAUACCACCUCUUACAUAUAUUUAAAGAGGGAAAUUGUUUUGAGUCGUGUCCUAAUUUGCUCUGAACGAAUCUAGCUUCCUAUUUUAUUCAAUAAAUAAGAUGCUGGACUCAUUGAAUUUUUUUUCAUUGUUUUCAGAGAACCUUGACAACUGCAUAGAUUAUUUUUGAAGACAAUAAGCAUCUUUAAUGAUGCAGAUUUAUUAUUUGUGCGAAUGCAUUAAAUAACAAUUCUAUUAAGCUGAUGCUUCAAUUAUUGAAGUUAUUGGUCAAGCUACAAAGGGCUCACGGAGGAUACCUAGGCAC